UACAGAGGUCCCAAGCGUUGUUCGGAUUCAUUGGGCGUAAAGGGUGCGUAGGUGGCGCCGUAAGUCUGAUGUGAAAUCCCGGAGCUCAACUCCGGAACUGCAUUGGAUACUGCCUUGCUUGAGUACUGGAGAGGGAACUGGAAUUUACGGUGUAGCAGUGAAAUGCGUAGAGAUCGUAAGGAAGGCCAGUGGCGAAGGCGAGUUCCUGGACAGUUACUGACGCUGAGGCACGAAGGCCAGGGGAGCAAACGGG
rnacentral:rRNA from 1 species